UCUCACCCCACAGGCCACAGCCCACUUAAUCUCUCCCCUGUCUCUCUGCCCUCUCUCCCUCCCUUAUCUCUUUCUCUCCAUUUACUCAAAAAAACCUCUCUUUCUCUCCAGAUCUGAGCGGCGGCGGCUCCCAUCCUCUUCCUCCACCCGUCUCCCUCAGAUCGAGCUCUGCCCCGAUGUGGAGGAAGGUGUCGCCGCCCCGAUGUGGAGGAAGGCAUCGCCGCCUCACUGCCCCGUCGAUUUGCAAGCAUGAAUCAAGUGAGCUCCACCCCGAAGUGGAGGAAAUGGUACGCGGCCGUCGAUCUGUGCGCGUCUAGCCAUGGAGAUGGAGGGCUCUCCCCUCUUGCGCGUCUCCUCCGCACGGAGUGCUAGCAGGCCACACGGCGUACAUCAGCCAUCUGUUUCAUCCGUCCCAUGCGCCAGCCGCCGGUGGCUACCACUCUGUUCUGUUCAUCCCCCGCCUGCCACACGCGAUGGCCCACACUGCCAUGUUGUUUUGCUGCAGCCAGACCACCGUCCCUGCCCUCGCGCUCCGAGCAUAUGAUCUUUCUUGCUGGUACGCGUUCCUCCCGGCGGUGGCGCUCUGCCCACUGCGUCGCCUUUCUCCCAGCGGCUGCGCCGUUCGACCCCUACCUCUAACAUAUUGAUCUGGCAACACAGAGAGGAAGCUGCAAAGACGCGUGAUGAGUAAAAAGUCGGUACACCUUUAAACUUUGUAAUAUUUGGGAGAGGAUGACUAAUCGAAUAUUGCCAACAUAUAUGUUUGUUGUCCUUGACCUGGAUGCCGAUGACACUCUUUUUCAUUCAGUUUGUAGUUGGUUUGCAUUGUUUCUGCAAAAUAAUCAUCUCUGAAUGUCUAAAAAAAUAGUUGGUCAUGAGUCAUGUGGGUUACAGUGCAUCAUAUGUACUCUGCCCCUACACAAUAUACAUCUCAUUACUUAUUUCCAUGGUAUCAUAAGUCGAGAAAUAAUUUGUUUUGUUGUUUUCUGUUGUGAAGUGCAUGAUACGGACAUUUCACUCCAUUUGUGCUAUUUUGUACUCUAAUUGACAUCUCAAUAUGUCAUUCUAGUAUUUUGUUGCUUCUGUUGGAACCCAUAUUAUCAAUUUUACACCAUGCAAAAGUCAUGACUAACAGGUUACAUGCUGGUUUCUGACUGUUUAGGUUUCGACUUUGGACAUCUGAACAGAUUAUAUACUGGAGAUUGCUUGUAUUAUAAUAGAAGGAAUGACAUACAAGAGGACCAGGGAGGAACCAUGAAGAUGGCAGUUUGCGUCAGCUAGACAUUUUGUGUAAUGGAGCAAUAACAAAGCGUCCUCUAUGUAUCAUUUUGUAAACCUAUAUGGUGUCUUGUCAACUGGGUAUUUUGUGUAAUGUAGCAAACAAUGAAUCGAUGGACAUGCAUCUAUCAUUUUGUAAACAUACCAGUUGUCUCGGUGAUAAAAGCAUAAAUGUUUCCUCCUUUCA